AGCAGCCGCCGCGGUAAUACGAAGGGUGCAAGCGUUACUCGGAAUUACUGGGCGUAAAGCGUGCGUAGGUGGUUGUUUAAGUCUGCUGUGAAAGCCCUGGGCUCAACCUGGGAAUUGCAGUGGAUACUGGGCGACUAGAGUAAGGUAGAGGAUAGUGGAAUUUCCGGUGUAGCAGUGAAAUGCGUAGAGAUCGGAAGGAACAUCUGUGGCGAAGGCGACUAUCUGGGCCAUUACUGACACUGAGGCACGAAAGCGUGGGGAGCAAACAGGAUUAGAUACCCGGGUAGUCCCUGUCUCUUAUAC
rnacentral:rRNA from 1 species